ACACACAAAUACACAAAACAAAACCAAUUUUUACCAUACAUGUUUAAGUGCUUAAAAUUCUAAUACACUCUACACACAUGAGGGACAUUGGUGAGCCUGGUAUACAGGUUAGGAUUUCAAGCUCUAGUUGCACCACUUGUAAGCACUGAGAUCUUGUCUUGGCAAGUUAUCUAACUGCUAAGCCUAUUUAUUCACUGAUACAACAGGAAUAAUGAAAUGAAAGAGUCGUGAAGACUGAAGGAAAUGUUAAAGCACUUAACAUAGCAGAGAUGAACCCUGUGUCUGGCACAUAGUGGAGAUGCAAGCAUUUGGCAUAAGAAGGAAAUAAGAUGAGAGCACGCUUUUGAGUAUCUCCUCAGGUACAGCAAUCUCGUCCAUUCUCUGAAAGUUAAUUUGGCUUUGAGAAGAGCCAGAUGGGAUUCAGGGUAAAGUCUGAAGAAGAUGGGUAACCAAGCAAAGU